AGCAAUUACUCUGCUAAUGGCUUCCACAUUCAUACAGGAUUUCCAUCUAGGAAAAAAGAUUAGAAAACAAUUUAUUAAAGUUUCUUGAAAUGCAGCAAUAAAAGUCUGGGGAAAGCAGGUAAAGAAAAGGCAACUUCUUCCACAGAAGGAUAUGAUGGAAGAAAUUAUGUUAAUCACUGGAAAGGAUACUAUCAUUAUUACACAGCGCAAGCCUUUCACUUCUCAAGGGAUCAACACAGAGGCACACAAAUAUUUCCCUUUUGCAUCUCUAUUGCUGAUUGAAAUGACAGGCGCAAAAGAAAGAUUCUACAGCAGUUUGCAACUCUGAAAUCAAGGAAAAUUGCAGGACUCCAGAAAUGCUGCAAGCAAGGCAUGGAGAUUCUUAUUAAGUUAUAGUUAAACAUAUGGAGAUGUCAAAUUGCAGCCUUGCCAGCCUGAACAAGAGAUGAAUUUCAGCAAGGGCUCAUUUGCAUUUACAACAGAAAGCCAGACAAUUGAAACCCUAUUUGCACUUUUGACUACUGUGCAUAUAUUGAGCUCAUUGCUCCAAUGCAUCAAGAACUACCAUAUUGAUGAAUGCAGUUGACAAUCAAGGAGAAAUUCUCCACGGAACCGCUGCAGAAAACCCUGAGUGGUGUUCGAUUCACAUGAGACAAAAAGUUCUUAUACUGUAAGCAGUGGGAGGCAGAAGUUAUACAAAUAUUGAAGUAGAGCUCUUGUGUGAAUUGCCCAUUUGUGCUUUUUCAGCACCUUUAUUAAAAAGAGCACAUAAUGCAUCUGUAGUAUUCAUAUAGUUUUGAGCACUCAAAUCCACACUCGUUUCCUAUUCCAUGUUAUUCCCAAGAGCUUCCUAUUACAAUUCAAGAACUGCAACUCAAAAACUUUUAUCCUGCAGAUUUGAGAUUCCAGAACCAAGAGAAAAAUACAACUAGCUUGUUAACAAGGCAAGGCUCUCCUCUCUGUCUUGCAGUCAGUUAUUUAAAAAGCAAGGGGAAAAGUUGAAACUAGAAGUAUUGUGUUGGGAGGCAAAUUCUCCUUUUUAAAUGUGUAUCUUCAACAUACACAUCUGAUUGUGUACACAACCUGAAAACGUAUUUGUUUGGCCUGGCCUUCCAAGGUUUUUCAGUUGUUUGUGGGUAUUUUAAUUGGUUUUAAAUUGUUUUAAUUGUUUUUAUAUUGUUUCAAGUAGUAUGUUUUAGAUGGUGUUAGUUUUAUGUCUUUUUAAAUUUGUUGUGCAUUGACCAGAGCCUUUGGAUGGGUGGUCUAAGAAUUUAAUAAAUAAAUAAUAAAUAAUAAUUAUGCCUUCAAAAUGCCUUCAGAACAUCAGGGUGUAGUAUAUUUGCUAACAUCCAAAUACAUUUCAUUAAUUAUGGUAUUAAUCAUUAUCCAUAGUUAAUCAUUAUUCAGUUUAAAACGAAUCUAGGGGCUUAAAGCCUCUUUUUGGCUGUUUUGAAGUUGAGAUAUGACCUUGCACAACUUCACUUUUCUGUACAUCACUAUUGGACUGAAGUGGGGACAUUUUGAAGAACAGAGGGAACACCUGAUGCAAAUGUAAAAUCCAACAUGAAUUGCAUGUGAUAGUCUUUAGUUGUACUGACAGUCUGCACCUCUAAAUCUCUGAGAAAACUUCACAGGCACUUUUGGUGUACACAAAAAAAGUUGUGUAACACCUGUUGCAUUUAUAUAGAACACAGAAAUCUUUUUUGAAAGACUUGUGUAUGAAGCAAAUCAAGAAUUCUUUGGAGUUAAAAAUCAAACAAGACACAUCCACACACCUCUACCAAAUUUUACCUUCAGGAACAGAGUUCAGCACACAAACCUACUAUCAGGGGCAGACACACAACUGGGCAAACGGGUUCAAAGAACCCGGGCCACCACCAAUCAGGGGCCGCAAGUGCAGCCCCAGACACGCCCCCUGGAUCUGACAUCAGACGUGGAAGCAUUAUUUUGGUCCCAAAUGGGGCCGCACGGUUUGGGCAGUGUGGCUGGAGUGACUCUCCCUGCCUUAAAUCCAGGAAGAGCCGCUCCUGGUCUCGCUGCCAACACAGCAGGGCCAAUCAAUCUCCCUCCCAAACGGGGCCGCAUGGCCCCAUUUAGGAGAGAGAUCGGCCCACGCUACAUUGGCAGUGCGGCCAGGGAGACCUUUAAGGCAGGGAGAGCUGCUCCGGGCCACACUGCCCAACACAGUUGCAUGGCCCCGUUUGGAAGGGAGACCACAUCCCACCACAUCUGACGUCAGAUGUGAGGGCGUGGCUAGCCACCCCUGCAUCUGAUGUCAGAUGAGGGAGAGUAGCCAGGGGCCACACACGGGCUGCCGCCAGCCUUCUUACGCUCUUGCCUACUAUGUAGCUGUACCCGUAGCCUGUUACCAAGACAGCCUGCUUGGGAGCUUCCAGCAGCACCCCUACACCUGAUCUGGAGCUACAGGCUUGUAGUUUCCAUUGUGUCUCUUUGAACUCAUGGGAUCGUGGGCUUACCAUUUGCUUGCAUGAAGUUACCUUAUGAGUCUAUGUCACUUGGCAGAAAGCAUGGGGAAAACUAGCUCCAGGUCAAGUCAUGACUGUAAGACAGGGCCAUCCUUAGAGAGUCAUGGAGGAGUGUGGGGCCUGGGAAAAAUCAGCCAGUGCGGUGCCCCCUUCCAGUUAAUUCUAAUGGGGGUUAAAAGAGCGGGGCCUGGGGCGGUUGCCCUGCUUGCCAUGCCCUAAGGACAGCCCUGCUGUAAGAGGACUAUUCCUCUGCUCUCUUCUCUGAUUUGAGUUCAAGUGAGGAAGCUGAAGUAGACACAAGUUAAUUAAGCACUAUUCUUCUAAUAGGGAUAGCCAAAUUCUCCCCACCACAUUAGAACAGGCUCAUCUCUCUAAUAAGAAGUGUUAAUGGUUGGCUUGAGGCUUGGGAAGCACGCUUGUUAACACAUUCCAGAACCUAUCAAGGUUGCCUACUGAGCAAGACGUGGCCUAUUUCUGCUUCUGAGAUCACCAAGCAGUGUGUCUCUUCUCUGGAUUCACCUGUUGCGUGUUCGUGUGUCUUGGCACCAGUUAUACCACCUUGCUGUGCCUUGACUCUUGAACUUGUCCUGCUUUUGGCCUCCAGACUGGUCCCGCUCCCAGGCCCAAUCUGUGCAGCAUGCUUGGCUGCAACGAGAAACUGGUCCCCUGAGAUCAGACCUCCUUUGGACUAUUCUUGGCUCCCUGACCACUGAGUGACACUCAGGUCACCCCUCCUUCCUUCUGACCUGUCCUGGAGGACAGAGGUCCCUCAACAUUGAUCAAGUAACAAGUGUCCAAAUACACUACCAAGAAAGGAUGUGAGGUAUACUAAUCCAUGCUCCUAAGUCUCUUGCUCCCCUCUCUUCCUGCUCCUCUUUGAAGUCUAAAGCUGUUCUCUAAAACCAUUUAUCUGGUCAGCCUUGAGUGGAUUUAAUUCUGAUCUCAAGCCAAAAUGCCUCUUCGUGAGCUUUAAUUUAGUACUAUUAAUACUGUUAGCCUGGUUAGCUUUGUUAGUUAAUAUUGUGUUGCUUGCUAAUCAAGAUUUUUCUUUUGUACCCCUAAACCCUAAAUAAACCUGAUUGCAUUUGA